rnacentral:tRNA from 5 species
GGAGGGGUGGUCGAGUGGUUGAUGGCUCCGGUCUUGAAAACCGGCGAAUCGCAAGAUUCCGUGGGUUCGAAUCCCACCCCCUCCG